UUAUCAUCUCUCACUGUGGAGGUGGUCGCCUGUCGAUCCAGGCAGGGCCUUAUGGGCUGCCCUGGCAGAGUAUUAUUCUCCAUUUCAAGAUGCCUAUGCACUUCAGAUAAAUACAAACUGACAACUCUCAAGGACAGGACAGAGGAAAUAUCAUUGCUGCGUGAAGCCUGCCCUUAAGAGAGAAAAGCCCCUGAUUAUAUUUUGAAAUGCUGCGGAAGUUGCGGCGGAGGAGACUUUUUUCUUAUCCCACGAAAUACUACUUCUUGCUCCUUGGUUUUUUCGUGAUCACCUUCUCUGUUUUAAUAAUUCAUCAAAAGCCCGAAUUUGUCAGUGUUGGACAUUUGGAGCUGGAUGGAGAGAAUCCUGGUAGUAACAUUAACUGCACUAAGAUUUUACAGGGUGAUGUAGAUGAAAUUCAAAAGGCAAAGCUUGAGAUUAUAACAGUGAAAUUUAAAAAUCGCCCUCGGUGGACAACCUAUGACUAUAUAAACAUGACCAGGGAUUGUACUUCAUUCAUCAAGAAUCGCAGAUACAUUGUCGAACCUCUUAGUAGAGAAGAAGCAGAGUUCCCAAUAGCAUAUUCUAUAGUAGUUCAUCACAAAAUUGAAAUGCUUGACAGGCUCCUGCGAGCUAUCUAUAUGCCUCAGAAUUUCUAUUGCAUUCACGUGGACAAAAAAUCAGAGGAGUCCUUUUUGGCUGCAGUGAUGGGCAUUGCAUCCUGUUUCAGUAACGUCUUUGUAGCCAGUCAGUUGGAGAAUGUGGUGUAUGCAUCGUGGAGUCGUGUUCAGGCUGACCUCAACUGCAUGCAGGACCUCUACAGCAUGAAUGCAAACUGGAAGUACCUGAUCAAUCUUUGUGGCAUGGAUUUUCCUAUUAAAACCAAUCUGGAAAUUGUCAGGAAACUCAAAUCAUUAAUGGGUGAAAACAACCUAGAAACGGAAAGAAUGCCAGCGAAUAAAAAAGAAAGGUGGAAAAAGCAUCAUAUAGUCGUUGAUGGAAAGCUGACAAACACCGGGACUGACAAAAUGCCCCCGCCUCUGGAAACAGCUCUGUUUUCAGGCAGUGCCUAUUUUGUAGUCAGUAGGCAGUAUGUGGAUUACGUACUCAAGAAUGAAAAAAUCCAGAAAUUCAUAGAGUGGGCAAAGGACACAUACAGCCCAGAUGAAUACCUCUGGGCCACUAUUCAGAGGAUCCCUGAAGUGCCAGGGUCACUGUCUUUAAGCCACAAGUAUGACAUGUCUGACAUGCAUGCAAUCGCCAGGUUUGUCAAGUGGCAGUACUUUGAAGGUGACAUUUCCAAGGGUGCCCCCUACCCGCCCUGCAAUGGGGUCCACCUGCGUUCUGUGUGUGUUUUCGGAGCAGGGGACUUGAACUGGUUGCUGCACGUUCACCACUUGUUUGCCAAUAAGUUUGACACGGACAUCGACCUCUUUGCCAUCCAAUGUUUGGAUGAACAUCUGAGGCAUAAAGCUCUGGAGGAAUUGAAACACUGACCAUUGCAAGCAUUCUUACACAUUUGAAGGAUAGAUGCGAUGCACCUUAUGUGAUUCCGAUGCGCCUUUAAUAAAUCCAUAGGGGUCGCUGUUUGGGCCAAGGACUCUGAAUCAUCAUGUUAAGAAAAGCUACGUGGCUUCUGCAGUGCAUAGUUGUUAGAAGGGGUUUGCUGUUGAUUGCUGACCUAUAGUUAACCUUGAGGUCCUCACCAGCAUUGUGGGGCGAAGAGGCCCAGGCAGCCAGAGAAGAGACAGCUGCAAGAAUCAGCCUAUUAAAAAACCUCAGGGACUUAAUAAUACUCUAAAAUUUGACCUGUGCCAAGAUUACUUAGCCUGAUUUGAAUAACUUUAUAGCAACAAGUAAUUAUAAAGAUGUAAUUUAUCUUGUAGGUUUAUGUGUUGAAAUAGGAAUUUGACUAUCCUCUAAAUGAUCCUGUAAAUCUAUACUGUGUAGCAUGAAGUAUGUAUGUCAUCUCAGGGAACUCAAAAAAUAAGACACGAUUGAAGAAAUGAAGGCUCUUCGGAUGGUCCUGUGUCCAGCCUCUUACAGCCUUUCAUCCCUGUGUCGCCUGGGCCUCCGCUGAAGUGGUCUGGUCUCCGACCUUGCUUCAUGUUACCAGCCAUCCGCUAUUCCUAGGCCGGUUGUUCCUGAGGCUCUUUCCCACCACCUACUGUGGAGAGGGACAGGUGUGCUGCCCUUCCAGGCAGGGCACUUGAAUGCCUGAGGAGCCUUUAUGAAAGGAACGUUGGGUUUGUGUGAGGCGAGAUUAUCUCCAUAUCGGCAAUGCUCAGCCUAUGGUUUUUACUCUACAUUUUCACUAAAAGAUAUGAUUUGAGGUUGCGAUUGUCCUGCUGUCUCAUACUUCAAAGUAGUAAAUUAAGAUUUUUUUAAAGUUUGCUGUUUGCUGAACUGAUGGACACUCUUUUCGGCCAAAGAUCUAAUGGGAAAUAGGAAGCUUUAUCAUUUACCUGAGGUUUUAAACCAGAAUCAAAAGGAUGAUUUUUUUUAAUACAGCAAACUUAAAUGGUACAUGAGAAAUUCACAUUAUCAGUUUUUUCAGGCAUUCAACUGGGAAAACUUUAUUCCUCAAAAUUAGAAACCAUUUUCAUUUUUAUCAGUAGCUUUGUUAUUCUGAUCCUCCUGAAUGGUCACAUUUUCAAGUAUAUUGCUGUUGCUUGUAUGAUUUAACAUGAUUAUUCGACCAAGAAAAGCAUACUUGGUUUGAAACUCAGGAGAUGACAUCAGUGAAUGCAGUCUAUACAUAAUGCUGUCCCUGUUGGCUUCUAGACCAGUUUGUUCUUCUAAUGUCAGAAUUUUCUCCCAUGUUUGCUCUCUUCAAAGAAAGGCUUUACCUUUGAGUUAGGGCAUUAGUUCUUUACCCUAAGACCACUGGUUUUCAGUGAUCCACACUUUGUGUCUAUGUCUUGUAUUUUUUUUUUGCUUCAUAGUGUCUUGUCUGACAGACUUUAUUCACAUCAUAAUUUGAAAAUUUACAAAUUUCCUGGAAAGCGAAAACAAUGGUACAGUGAACAAAUCGAGCCCUUGCCUGGAGUCAGUGGUUGUUGGUAUCAUGCCCACUGCUGUUAAUUGUAUGGAGUUUUUAAAUUUAGCAAAAUUGAAAAUUAUUCCACGUUUUCAUCUUUGCACUCUUACUGUAGUGUGACUGCAUCUGAUGUACAUUCAGACUGGCAUGUCUUAAGGGACUUUUUUUCCUCACAGACACAAAAAAUUGGGCUUUGGAGUCCACUUCCUUAAGUUUCAUAGUAAAACUGGACACAUUCUCUUUUAUAGCUGUGAUACCUCCUCACUCAAAGGUACCUUGUUGCUAAUACCUGGUUUUAGAGUUUAUACAGAAUUUGUUCACUGGGUCUCUUAUUUUACACUUUACAGCAUAAUGUAAGGUAAUUGGUAUUCAUGCUACUGGGGUGGGCAGUUUGAAGAAUCAAGCAGGGCUUCAGAAAGAAUCUUGUAGCAUAGUCAGGAAGUAAAAUGGAAAUACUUUGGGAAAGAUAAAUUAUUUAAAUAGAUUCACAUGUCAGCUUUUAAAUAAUAAAUUCUUUUUAUAGUUAUUUAUGGUUUUUACAGGGAAUUAUAGAAAUCAUUCACAAAUACUUAAACAACGUAAACUGCAGUUUUGUGGUGGAUAUAUCAUGUCAAAUGUAAAAUAAAUGCAAGACUUCCUGGCAAGUGUGAAUGCACAUGGGUAUGACUGAAUGCAUUUGGAACUAGU